GAGAAAAUGUAUUUUCUUAUUACAUAUUAUGUAUUUCAUAUUACAUAUUUGAAUGUUUUAUGUUAUCAUUUAUGAAUGUAUAAUCCUUGGUUUAGAUUUAUGAAUAUAUAAUCAUUUGCUUAGAAUCAUAUUAAGUCUGUCUAGCUACUUAGAAGACUGCCAAGGUAAAAUAGUGCGUACAAUGUUCUUUUGUUAUCAUAUGACCUUUGGUAACUGCAUCAUCACGUUACUAUCUUGUUUUUGGUAAAAUGUAGUCAAUACUAUUUCUCUAGACUUAGCAAAAUGUGUGAUGUUGUUGCAAUUAUGAAAGUCUGUAAGGUUCGACCUUCGGGAUGAACCGAGUGAACCAGUGAUUAAAUCCUAAAUAAAAACAGUCCGCAGAGAGGCUCAAGUCGAGAGACAGUUGAGAGUUUCCUGAUGAGACGUCUCAUUCUGGGUUCUCCCUGCAGAAUAUUGAAACCUCAUUCGUGGUCUGAGUGCGUCUUAAUUUUUGUUAAGGUUCAUAAGUAUUUUAAACCUGACAUUUUGGUCCUUCGAGCCGGAUUCCAACACAUCCAGUGAUCAACAGUGGAGGAGACAUGCCGAAGCCCGUCGACGGCCGAGUUCUAGGAAUUCGAAGAAAGUCCUGGGUGGUGAAAAUUCCUCGCCAGGCCGGCAUUUAGGUCUCCUCAGCUGGUGAUCUUGGGAUUGACGGAAUCUGAAGCUAAGAAGACGACUCAGACGCAGUGAAUCGGGUGAGUUUCUGAUUGGUAAUUUGAUUUGUUAUUUACCAUAAGAAAAGGGGACAGCUGAAUCGGUUUGAGUCCUACAGUGUCGCCCAAGAACAGAAUUGUGGGUUCGAGUCCCCAAUGUCUGUCAGUCAGCCGAAUGGAGGGUUCGAGUCCCCCAGUAGCUGAAGGGGAUCCUGGGGAUCGCCCGAAAGAUUUUACUAUAUUUGUGUAGAAAACCAAAAAUGUAUUCGGUGUAUGCUUUGUAUAUUAUGCGGGGUUUUUGUGUUUGAUGUGCUGAAGCAAUUGUCUUGUUAUAUGAUAUUGUUUUUGUGGUUGAUGUGCUAAAGCAAUUGUUUUAUAUUGUAUGAUAUAGUUGUGUUUAUAUAUACUGUGAAUUUACCCGGUGUACUGAAACAGCGACAGGGAGAGAAACCCUGAAGGUUCAAAACAACCAACCAGUUAAACGCUGAAGUAAGCACGCCAUGUAAGCAAACAGAAUGUGGUGUUUAGGAUUUCCAUGGGAGAGAAAGAAAAGUUGGGAGAGAAAAGAAAGAAAAGUUGGAAAAAUUGAAAUAGAAGAAACAGAAAGAAAUUGUUGAAUUUUUGUUGUUGAAUUUUUGUUUUUAUUUGAAGUGUUUGUGCUAAGAAGGAUCUAGAAGGAGAUGAGAAGUAUAUGUGUGGUAAAGAAAGUGAAAAUGUGAAAUGCUAAGAAAUGGAAAAAGAAAUAUCAGUCAGAGAAAUUGAAUGUAGAUGAAUGUGAGUAACUGGUGCAGAAGUUAGAAAUGAAAGCAGCUUUCAAAACAGGAAAAAGAAUUUAUAGAAAGGAAAAGCAAGUGCAAGAGAAUGUUUUGAUGAAAGUGUGAGGGGGAAACAAGGAAGGUAGAAAAGAGAGGAAAAGAAAGAAGGAGAAAUAAUGGUUAUAAUGAAACUACUCUAGGAGCAAGGCCAACCCCUCCCUUACCUGCCACUCCUUUACUUCCCCUGCCACAAAACGAAAGUUAAGAAUUAAUUCCUGUAGUUCCCAUAGCAGCCUCUAAUGUCCCUGAAGCAACCCCUGAUAUUACUGCCCAUACCCCUGCCCAAACAGGUUCUCCCCCAUAUCAUGGUCAAUAUGACCCUGCCAGAGAAACACUUAAUCCAUCGAUUUUUGAGCCUUUGACUUUGUCAAUGUCUCAAACAGCGGGGAUGUUUAAUAUUUAGUUAAUAGAAGAGCAUUUCAUUGCCUAUGGAUUCAAUACGUACUUAAAAAAAAAAAUUGUAGGGAAUGUACCAUUUGUAUAAAACAUAUCCAGCUAAAUUACUUGGUUUGUCUGAAGCAAUUCCAAACAGCCAUGAUUGUGACUGUGUACAGUAGAUAUUAUACAAACAUUAAGUGUUGAUGAAUACUUAGACAAUCUGUCAAUUAAAAAUUCCAAUUUGAUUGUUACAAUGAUGUUUAUCUUUUGUGGACAAAAAGGGAAAUGAAAGGCAAAAUCACAAAAACAUGUGAAUUGACGAGUAACAGAAAACCUAACAUUUAUAUUUAUUUUUGUUAUGUCUGUGGAGCUGUGCUUAACUCUUGAGCAGGUUGGCAGCAGAGAGGUUUCCUGAGAUGUCCCGGAAACAGGUUGCGGUAAAAGCCCACCUGAGGGGAGAUACCAGUGAGGUAAAGGGAAUACCCUUGCUGACCAGGCAGCUACGGUUGCCAGCCGCAUGAACGGCAGAGAGAAACUUACUGCUCAAAUGUGUCAUCUAUGGUGACAAACUACUCAGAGCUCACAGACAUAGCUGAUUUUCAAAUUCAAUGCUCCAGAAAGGAGAAAUGAGAACGGAUUGAAAAUAGUAAUUUUAAUACUGAUUUAUAACUCCAAAAGCCUUUUCCUUAUUUGGUCACACAGAUAAACAGUGUUGGACGCUUAAACGUUUUUCAAAUGUAUACGUAACUUGUAAAAAAUACAAUUUGGCACCCCCAAAUUCUAUCAGUUUUAAGCAGAACACCUCAGGGCGGUUUUCUGAAUUGCAGUAUGACUUUAUAACCUUUCAUCUAAAUACAAGGGUUAUUAAGAUGCUUUAACUAAUAGAUUUUUUAUUUGGUGUAAAGUUUUUCCUCACAAAGAAAAACUUUGCUUCCUUUAUGUCUAAUAUGACAACAUAAUAUUGUGCCAGGGCAAAUGGUUUUAAUAUAAAAGUUAUUUUUAUAUAACACUAUUUUAUAAAACAUUUUGUGAUGUUUUCGUAGCCUAAUGGUUUCUAUAGUUUCUAAUAGUCAAAACAAGAUAUUUCCUAACAAAUCUGUUUAAACAAAGUUGUUUUUUGGCCAUGGAGCUCUUUUGUUUUCUUUUCUUUUGUUUUUAUGUUUUCGCAGAGAUAUAUGACGGCCUUCAAGAAAUUAACUGAAAAUUCAGGCCAAUGGUCAUUUUUAAUUAUUACACUGAAGGGUAUGAGCAAUACAAAAAAAAAAACAAUGUUAUUUGCUGUGUUGAUUUUCUAUUCUGAUUUACAAUUCAGAUCCAUUAUUCCAUCCAUGGUUAGAACAUCACAGUAUUUUUAUUUAGGCAGUAACUUUAGCUCAUACAUACGAUAAGAUGCCUAAUAUUUCCAAUUGUUGUGUAUGUAAAUCUUUUCGUCAAAUAUCUGCAUAUACACCAGGACUUCUGAACGCCAGUUUAAAAGCAAUGAAAUAAAAAAGACUAUGCUACAACCGAGGAUAUGGUUGUUUGGAGGGUCUUGGUGGAAAAAAACUGUUGAAAAUAUUUGUUCCAAUAUUAUCUACUCUUUUUCUGAUAUGUAUGUGUUUGACUUGUGUGAUACAAUGUAUUUCAAGAAUGACAAAAGAAAAUGAUUCAAUCUGUAUUUACUGAUGCAUACUUUAUGGGUAUUAUUGCAGACAGAGAAGACUGUAAAUUUGUUGUUCAGAAAACUACUAAAGCCUAUGAUGAUACUGUAUAGAAGAAAUUUCACUUUGUUUAUUGAUGAAGGUUUAAUCCUAAAGUGCCUAAGAAUGUAACGGGUUACAACCCGAAGUAAAAGGCAUUAUAAAUGAUAAA